rnacentral:rRNA from 1 species
GUUACGUAAUGGCCGCGUACCGCGGGCGCAAGUAGGGGUCAAGCUGUAAUCUGAAUUAACGUGCGGCAAGGCGGCGCAGGCUGUUCCAUAAGACAGAUGUGAAAUCCCCGGGCUCAACCUGGGAACUGCAGUUGUGACUGUGGAGCUAGAGUACGGUAGAGGGGUAUGGAAUUCCGCGUGUAGCAGGGAAAUGCGUAGAUAUGCGGAGGAACACCAAUGGCGAAGGCAAUCCCCUGGACCUGUACUGACGCUCAUGCACGAAAGCGUGGGGAGCAAACAGGAGUAGAUUCCCUGGUAGUC